rnacentral:rRNA from 1 species
AUAGGUGUAGGCGAAGCGAAAGCGAGUCUGAAUAGGGCGAUUUAGUUAAUGGGAUUAGACUCGAAACCGAGUGAUCUAGUCAUGAGCAGGUUGAAAGUGAAGUAAAAUUCACCGGAGGACCGAACCCACUAGCGUUGAAAAGCUACGGGAUGACUUGUGAUUAGGGGUGAAAGGCCAACCAAACUCGGAAAUAGCUAGUUCUCCGCGAAAACUAUUUAGGUAGUGCGUCGUGUGAAUCUUGUCGGGGGUAGAGCACUGAAUGGGCUAGGGGGAAGCAAUUCCUACCAAACCUAAUCAAACUCCGAAUACCGAUAAGUCUGCACGGCAGACAGUCCAUGGGUGCUAAGGUCCUUGGACGAGAGGGAAACAGCCCAGAUCAACAGCUAAGGUCCCCAAAUAAUGAUUAAGUGUGAAAGGGAGUGGGAACUCCAAGACAGCCAGGAGGUUGGCUUAGAAGCAGCCAUCCUUUAAAGAAAGCGUAACAGCUCACUGGUCUAAUUAAGAGAUCCUGCACCGAAAAUGUAACGGGGCUCAAAUCAUUUACCGAAGCUUUGACAAUUACUUUGUAAUUGGGUAGCGGAGCGUUCUGUAAGCCUGUAAAGGUGAUGCGUAAGCAUUGCUGGAGGUAUCAGAAGUGCGAAUGCUGACAUGAGUAACGAUAAGAAAUGUGAAAGACAUUUCCGCCGAAAUCCUAAGGUUUCCUGCGUAAAGCUAAUCUGCGCAGGGUUAGUCGGCCCCUAAGGCGAGGGCGAAAGCCGUAGUCGAUGGGAAGCAGGUUAAUAUUCCUGCACCAGCUGGUAGUGACGGAUGAAGUAAAUUGUAAGUUCUUACUGGAUUGAGCUUGCAGUGAAUUUGUCCCUGGAAAUAGCUCCAGCAUUAGACCGUACCAAAACCGACACAGGUAGGAGGGUAGAGAAUACCAAGGCGCUUGAGAGAACUAUGUUGAAGGAACUCGGCAAAUUACACUUGUAACUUCGGGAUAAAAGUGACCUGCUAUUGGGCAACCAGUAGGAGGUGGCACAGAAGAGGGGGUAGCGACUGUUUACUAAAAACAUAGCACUAUGCAAAGUCGAAAGACGACGUAUAUGGUGUGACGCCUGCCCGGUGCCGGAAGGUUAAUAGGAGGGGUGCAAGCCCUGAAUUGAAGCCCCGGUGAACGGCGGCCGUAACUAUAACGGUCCUAAGGUAGCGAAAUUCCUUGUCGGGUAAGUUCCGACCUGCACGAAUGGCGUAACGAUUUCCCCACUGUCUCCAACAUAGACUCAGUGAAAUUGAAUUCUCGGUUAAGAUGCCGAGUAACCGUGGUUAGACGGAAAGACCCCGUGCACCUUUACUGCAGCUUUGUAUUGGUAUUAGGGAACAGAUGUGUAGCAUAGGUGGGAGACUUUGAAGGAGUGGCGCUAGCCAUUCUGGAGUCACUAGUGAAAUACCACUCUUCUGUUCCUUGAUGCCUAACCAUACACCGU